GAAAACAUCCAAAUCUGUGUAGGAGAAGGGAUGUUUGGCUAAGUCAAAUGUCGCUUCCAUCCAAAAUGACUACUGCCCAUCCAUCCACAGAGAAUCCAUCCAUGCACGAGGCCGAACGCCUCCUGUCUCUGAGCCUGAGCAUCUCGGCCUCCGGUGCUUUUGUUUGGAUUUUGUUCCAAAUGUCCCCAUGAUCUCGUCCCCCACUCCCAACAGUUCGCCACGAUGCAUGCUCGCUUCACACCGCUAAUCGGACCACAACUACACGGGAGGAUAAGAGGAGCAGUGGAUGCUUCGUCGGUAAGCGCAUCACCAAGCAUUGAAAAGAUUCACAUCCAGAAGCUGUGUUCCAAGGCUCCAUGUAGCUCUCACCGCUCCGAACAAGGAGAAGGAGCCAAGCCUGUAUAUGCAUGCGGGUGACCUGUGGGGUUGGGACAAGGGAAGGUGGUGGGGGGUGGUGGGGACAUUUGGAUGCUUAGGUGAGGUGAGAGAUAGGUCCGAAGGGGAGGGAUAAAGGGCAACAGGGAUGGGCUCGGAGUAGGACAGUCCAGGGUGUAGAGCACUGCCGUGUGAUGCACUGCGCUCGGCGCCUUUGAACUAUUCUUCGGCUUAGGAUAAGAGCAUCAAAGUAGGUGACCGGUCCAAGGAAGAGACGGGUGCGACUUAAUCGCUUGAGCUCUUGCCCGCUCACAUUCUGAGACCACACAUGAUGCUUUCGGAGCGAGAGCUCAAUCAUUCUGCAAUCCGGAACGCCAUGCGUGGUGUUCGUGUUCUGUGCGGAUCGCGCAUAAAGCGUUUGCGGUAAUUAAUGGCGUGCUCGCAACAUGUCGAACAGAUUCCCGAUCGCCCGAUGCGGUGUCAGCAGCGGAUGCAAAGCGUCGCGGCGUGCCGGAGAAAGUGGCGAACAUGGGGUGAGAUAGUGCUGGGGACCGUAGCAAGAAGAAGAAGAAGAAGAAGAAGAAGAAGAAGAAGAAGAGCUCUCGAGCAGUAGCGGGAAGAGUUGCUGUUAUUAGCAUCGAUAUCGGCGGACGGAGGCAGCAAAAGAUGGUAGUGUUUGUUCGGUGAGGUUUGCUCAAUUUGAGUGCCAACUUUAGAGGGAUUUCUUUUCAGAGUCCCAUGUGAACAGCACCAUGGAUUUUGACAUGGAAUGUGAUGUUUUCUUCAUGUUUACUCUUCAUGCUCUC